UACAUGUGGGGCAAGCGUUGUUCGGAAUUACUGGGCAUAAAGGGUGCGUAGGUGGUUUGUUAAGUCACGGGUGAAAGUUUUCGGCCCAACCGGAAAAUUGCCCGUGAUACUGGCGAACUUGAGUGCGUGAGGGGUUACCGGAACGAGCAGUGUAGCGGUGAAAUGCGUAGAUAUCAGGAGGAACACCGGUGGCGAAGGCGGUUCUCUGGGCCUUACCUGACGCUGAGGAGCGAAAGCGUGGGGAGCGAACAGG
rnacentral:rRNA from 1 species